rnacentral:rRNA from 1 species
UACGUAGGGUGCGAGCGUUAAUCGGAAUUACUGGGCGUAAAGCGUGUUCAGGCGGUCUAGCAAGUCGGGCAUGAAAUCUCUCGGCUCAACCGGGAGGGGUUGUCCGAUACUGCUGGGCUUGAGGACAGCAGAGGGUGGUGGAAUUCCGGGUGUAGUGGUGAAAUGCGUAGAUAUCCGGAGGAACACCAGUGGCGAAGGCGGCCACCUGGGCUGUACCUGACGCUCAAACACGAAAGCUAGGGGAGCGAACGGG